rnacentral:tRNA from 2 species
GCACCGGUCGUCUAGUGGCUAAGAUUCCGCUCUUGUAAAGCGGCGACGUGGGUUCGAAUCUCACCUGGUGCUC